rnacentral:lncRNA from 1 species
GUGCCUUUCGCAGAUUCUCCAAGAAAUCGCACGGCCCGCGCCGUGGGGCCGCGGCCGCCGUGGCACGGCGGCGGCCGUGAGCCAGACUCCAAAACUGCUCCAAACUAGCCGAAAACGCUUGACAACUCACGAAUCCUACAGACGACAAUAGCACACCCAAAAAGAUCAUCGAGCACGUGAAAAAUAGGGCAAAAAGAUAUGGAACAUGCUCGAAUGCACAGCAGAAACAUACGCAAAAACUACCCAAAAACGAGGUAAACAACCCCCCCACACUUAAAUCCUUGCUUGUCCUCAAGCAACAAACACAAAAUCGAAAGAAAAUCCACAAGCGAUUCUGCUCACCAAGCAAACACAAACCAAUCCAAGUCCUUCAAGAUAUCAAUGCCCCCCAAUCAAGUGUUCAAAGCUAAGAUUUAAAAGUGCAACAACAAGGUGAUACAACUCAAUCCGAUCAGACCCAAUUCUCCGCUAAGGGUGAAUUUCCUAAUGCAAUUUCCUUUACAAUCAUAUCUCAUUCCUUUUUCAUAUUCUUUCAUUUUCAUAUUACACUUCUCUUUUUUUUUGGGUCAAGUUAUUUUCGCUCUUAAUAGAUGGGCCAUAAUUCACGAGAUUGCACUUUUGGAGGUGAUCCAAAAUGUUCUCGUGUGGUUUCCCAUGCUCAUAAUGAAAUCAUUAGAGGAGCAGAGACCCAGGCUAUCAGAAACUCAACAACCAACCAAACAAUUCAACACAGAGACAGAUAUUAGGAAAUUGCACUGAAAACACUCCCCUUAGCAUCUACCAGACAAAUCACGUCAAGAGUUGCUCAUCAGGGUGUUGCACCAAAACCUUAAACUAAUUACACUUCAUUGGGAACAAAUCAAUCAAGAAAAACAAGGAUAACA